rfam:Lingula anatina scaffold109, whole genome shotgun sequence.
GUCGGUUACGGAGACGUGGUUCCGGCGACACUUUGGGGUAAACUCAUUGGUGCAGUUUGUUGUAUCUGUGGUGUUCUAGUCAUUGCUCUUCCGAUUCCUAUCAUUGUUAACAAU